AUGAAAUGAUCAUAUAUGGAAAAGGGUGGCCGGCCAUGUGGUGUUUUAGAGUGGUGUGAACCCAAUUUUAUAAAGUUUAACUCCCAUUUUAAUUAAGAAGUCAAGUGGGCAAGUGGGUAGAAAAGCACUAAAGUGUUUUGUGAUAUUUUGAAGAGUUGUGUGAGCCAUUCUAACCCCCAAAUCCGACCACUCUCCCUCUCUCAUUCACUCUCAUCUGAUUUUUUAAGACCAUUCAAAGUGUUCUCUCAAUAUUCAACCUCAAGAACACCAAGGAAAACUUGGAGGCUAAGUCUUGGUCUAGGAAGUAUUUUCCCUAAGUUGGUUAGGGUUUUUGAAAGGUUUUGGAGGAGCCAAAGCUAAUAGGAAGGUCCAAACCUUAAGCAAGAACACCAAAGAGUAUUGGCUAAGCGUAACUGGACUGAACGUUGGAGGGUGAAAACUUGCUGAGCGCUAAGGACUCCAAGAUUUCGGAGAGGCUCGUGCUAAGGGGACCGUGCUCGUGACCGUGGUGCAUCGGAAAGCACGGAAUACAGGUAAGAAAACCGUAACACCCGGGAAUAGGGCAUAGGCCCACUGUAUGAUUGCAGGGCACGACCCUAGAUUGUAUUGCGUGCGAAUGUGUAAUCUUAGAUAAAUUGUUGUAUGUUUGAAUGGCUAUUUCUGAAUGUAUUAUAUGUGUGAUUGUAUUGGAAUGAACGGCUAAGGCCGAGAGCGGCGUAGGCCGGGUACGGCAGCGGGGCCGGAAGUAACGCUCAGCACAUGGGAUGCUAUAGCCAGGGUGGGACCCAAGGGAUACAUGGGUUAUCCUAUGGUAAUGACCGAGACCCCAAGCUUUGGUAAAAGCAAGGAGUCAGUCAACCGACCAUGAGUAUGGAGAGCGUGGGGGCGGCGCGUACAUGUUCGGCCUGCCCGACUGCUUUGGUUGGGAGUUUUUUUGUAAAUGGCUGUAUUAGCUCAUUCUUUUGAUAGUCAAACCUGUUGUAAAUCUAUUUUUGAGUUGUAAAUGUUUUGUAAACCUUAUUUUGGGAUCCCAGAUGUUUUAUAUCUAACGUUUUCAAUAAGUUAAACAUUUUAAAAGAAUACAGCCUCAAACUCUGGUUUAAUCACA